UUCGGGGCUCGCGGCAAGGAGAACAAAAUGGCGGCCGAAGUAGACGCACCCGUUGGAUGAAAUCAGGAGAAGGGAUUUCAAGAAAUGGCCUUGGCUAAUCUUUAUUUCCUUUGCCGUUGUUGCCAACUCUGCCAAAAUUCCCGGCAUCUGCCUUUUACUUCCACAAUCUACGGUUGGUAGUUCUCGACUUACAAACCAAACUUACAAGUCAA
rnacentral:lncRNA from 1 species